rfam:Caenorhabditis briggsae complete genome, chrV
CCAACGGCCCUCUUUAGGGCCACAACUAUUACAAAAAUCCAUCUG